AGUUUGAUCCUGGCUCAGGAUGAACGCUGGCGGCGUGCCUAAUACAUGCAAGUCGAGCGAACAGACGAGGAGCUUGCUCCUUUGACGUUAGCGGCGGACGGGUGAGUAACACGUGGGUAACCUACCUAUAAGACUGGGAUAACUUCGGGAAACCGGAGCUAAUACCGGAUAAUAUUUAGAACCGCAUGGUUCGAUAGUGAAAGAUGGCUUUGCUAUCACUUAUAGAUGGACCUGCGCCGUAUUAGCUAGUUGGUAAGGUAACGGCUUACCAAGGCAACGAUACGUAGCCGACCUGAGAGGGUGAUCGGCCACACUGGAACUGAGACACGGUCCAGACUCUACGGGAGGCAGCAGUAGGGAAUCUUCCGCAAUGGGCGAAAGNCUGACGGAGCAACGCCGCGUGAGUGAUGAAGGUCUUCGGAUCGUAAAACUCUGUUAUUAGGGAAGAACAAAUGUGUAAGUAACUAUGCACGUCUUGACGGUACCUAAUCAGAAAGCCACGGCUAACUACGUGCCAGCAGCCGCGGUAAUACGUAGGUGGCAAGCGUUAUCCGGAAUUAUUGGGCGUAAAGCGCGCGUAGGCGGUUUUUUAAGUCUGAUGUGAAAGCCCACGGCUCAACCGUGGAGGGUCAUUGGAAACUGGAAAACUUGAGUGCAGAAGAGGAAAGUGGAAUUCCAUGUGUAGCGGUGAAAUGCGCAGAGAUAUGGAGGAACACCAGUGGCGAAGGCGACUUUCUGGUCUGUAACUGACGCUGAUGUGCGAAAGCGUGGGGAUCAAACAGGAUUAGAUACCCUGGUAGUCCACGCCGUAAACGAUGAGUGCUAAGUGUUAGGGGGUUUCCGCCCCUUAGUGCUGCANNNAACGCAUUAAGCACUCCGCCUGGGGAGUACGACCGCAAGGUUGAAACUCAAAGGAAUUGACGGGGAUCCGCACAAGCGGUGGAGCAUGUGGUUUAAUUCGAAGCAACGCGAAGAACCUUANCAAAUCUUGACAUCCUUUGACCCUUCUAGAGAUAGAAGUUUCCCCUUCGGGGGACAAAGUGACAGGUGGUGCAUGGUUGUCGUCAGCUCGUGUCGUGAGAUGUUGGGUUAAGUCCCGCAACGAGCGCA
rnacentral:rRNA from 1 species